CCCCACUGCUAUCGGGAUGGGACUAAGACAUGCUAGUCGUGCGUCUCCAAGCCAUGGCGGAGACGCGGCGCACAGCUCAGUAACACGUGGCUAACCUGCCCUUAGGACAGGGACAACCCCGGGAAACUGGGGCUAAUCCCUGAUAGGUGAGGGUUCCUGGAAUGGGCCCUCGCCGAAAGGGCGCCUAGACCAUGCUUCUAGGCGCUGCCCAAGGAUGGAGCCGCGGCCGAUCAGGUUGUUGGUGAGGCAACGGCUCACCAAGCCUUUAACCGGUACGGGCCGUGAGAGCGGGAGCCCGGAGAUGGGCACUGAGACAAGGACCCAAGCCCUACGGGGCGCAGCAGUCGCGAAAACUCCGCAAUACGCGAAAGCGUGACGGGGCUAUCCCGAGUGCCGUCCGCUGAGGAUGGCUUUUCCCUAGUGUAUAAAGCUGGGGGAAUAAGGAGAGGGCAAGCCUGGUGUCAGCCGCCGCGGUAAUACCAGCUCUCCGAGUGGUGGGGAUGCUUAUUGGGCCUAAAGCAUUCGUAGCCUGCUUGGCAAGUCCUCCGUUAAAUCCAACGAUUCAAUCGUUGGGCUGCGGGGGAUACUGUCCGGCUAGGGGGCGGGAGAGGCCGACGGUACUCUCGGGGUAGGGGUGAAAUCCUAUAAUCCCGGGAGGACCACCAGUGGCGAAGGCGGUCGGCUAGAACGCGCUCGACGGUGAGGGACGAAAGCUGGGGGAGCGAACCGGAUUAGAUACCCGGGUAGUCCCAGCUGUAAACGAUGCGGGCUAGGUGUUGGAGCGGUUACGAACCACUUCAGUGCCGCACGGAAGCAAUUAAGCCCGCCGCCUGGGAAGUACGGCCGCAAGGCUGAAACUUAAAGGAAUUGGCGGGGGAGCACCACAAGGCGUGAAGCUUGCGGUUU
rnacentral:rRNA from 1 species